rfam:Picea glauca, whole genome shotgun sequence.
GGGUAUGAUCAUACCAGCGUUAAUGCACCGGAUCCCAUCAGAACUCCACAGUUAAACACACUUGGGCCAGAGUAGUACGGGGAUGGGUGACCUCCCGAGAAGUCCUGGUGUUGCAUCCU